UUUAUCGAGCCGUUGGGUAUGGGAGGUCGUUUUACGAAGAGAAUUAUACCAGCGAAGAAAAAGAUCAGCUGCUCAUACAACGUCAUCCCUGCUGGACGCGUCGAGUGAUUUAUCCUGACCGUUAAAAACUAGAAAAUCCCGUGAAGGAUCGAGGCGAGAAAGAAAAAAGAAAAUAGUAGGAAAAGGAAAAAGGAAACGGAUAAGAAAAUAAAAUAAAAUCAAACAAAUAUCGUAUAAAUCCGCACAACUUUUGCCGCACCUGAUCCCUAAAAAUGAAGCUUUUAGUCUCGACGACCACCUUGGUAGUCCUACUCUGCGUCGUUGUCACCGUCUUUGAAAGCGAAGCUGCGCACAGAAGAAAUUACGCGAAUGAUUUUCGACGUGAAAAAAUUCGCCAGCUACGACGUACCGCGACCGAUGUCGAUUUCAACCAACCGCAGAUCGCGCAGGGAAAUUCGGGAAAUAAACAACCCGUUUAUCAACAAUACAGCAACAUUAUAACGGGGAAACUUUUCCUCCGUGUCGGACAAAGCUUGAGAUAUCUCAUAACCAUGAUCGAACACCUGAGAGACCUUCUCGUACAAUACCAAUGGCACGUACUGGCGGGGGCCGUUGAUUACUGGAUACAAGUUCUGAAAAGGCGGCUAGAUUAUGAAAAUUCAAUGGCUGCAUUUUCCCCCGACGAUUCGCAAGAACAAAAUCGAAAUCAAGGAAAUAUCGUCAACUACCCUUGCCAACCCUACGACCCACGAGCAGGAUGUUAAAUCGGCGGUGAGAAUCUCAAGAAAAGGGAAGAGGAGAAAGUAGAAAAAUACUUGUCACGGAUAAUUCCGCCCCCUUUUUGCUUCACCCGGAGGCCAUAAGCUGCAGAAACUCGCGACGACGCCGCUUCUUUUUCCCGGUGAUCUAGCGUCCGCUUUUAAACUUUGUAACCCGCUCCGGGGAUGAAGGAAGCAAAUCAUGCAACUCCGCUGACGAAUCACCGCCAUUUACCAUUUCUUUAUUUCCUCUACCUCUCCUUCUUAUCCAAACUCACCAAUCGUGCACAGCGAAAUUAUGCCGCCGUGCUUUCGAGACUCUCCCGCAGACGCGUGACGAAGUGUACCCACCUUGUUUUACAAAACGAGCUUUUACCGUCCCACCUCUUUCCGACGAUCUACGAAAUUUAUUUCCCAGUUCCAACAACAACAGAAAUGAGCAGAAACAAAAAGAAAAAAAAAAAAGCCAGACAAAAUGAAAACGAAUAAAUAAAUAAAUAAGUUUUCGUUUCUGAUUCUCAUGCACCAACUGACCGCGUACAACGGGCAAUUUAAUCGUUGCUCGGUUUCAGUUCGUUAAAUUUAAUGCAAAUAUAGUUCAGUUCAUUACUAGAUAGUUUAUAUCUACGUACAAGUUCACCGAAUAGCCAAAUUAUCAAGAAUAUCGGAUGGUCGUUCGGUGGAAAAGAGAAGAGAAAAAAAUAUUUUCAUGCGAUCAAACUACUCUGUAUAUACGGGAGAGUUUUAGCUGCACCGAAUAAUCGCGCCGGACUUAAUGUAGCCUGCUAUUGAAAUGUAUUUCCGCUGAUUAAUAUUUGAUAUGUUUAAUUCGCUCCACUCUCGGUGAUUAGUUGAAUCAAUUUAAAUUACUGAUUGAAUUCAUAUCUCAUUGUCAUGGCACGUGUAUAUUAGAAACGAAACUGACCUGCGCGAGCCAUUAGAGGCGGUAUACUAUAAGAACGACGUCCGAACGAGGAGACAAGUUGCAGUGUAUAUCCGUCAUUAGGGUCUAAGAAAAAGUGACAAGAUUAAAAAACAAAAAAAAAACAACAAAAUACAUCCAAUUAAAACCAAAAUCAAUUUAUUUUCACUCACGUAAAAAUGAAAAUCUUAUUGAUAUUCGCAGUCGCCUGCUGUUUCGCCGUUUGUCACAGCAAAGUCGCAAGUCCGAAAUCGGCAGAUUCUUCGCUGAUCGAUUUUAAUUUGUCCGAUCUGAUUGGAAGUCGUAAAGGAAGAUCCGAGUCCAUGUCUUUACUGGAACGUUUCAGCGUGAAAGGAAUGCUCACCACAAAAGCGCAACAACUUAUACAAUUGUUCGUCGGAUUUCUAAAUCGGAUAGCUAAGUUGUCUGCGGACAACUUCGGAUUCACGAACAUUGCAAUGCUACUGAAUAACAUCGGCCAAGCGUUCCUCCAAUACGCGUACACGAUCGGACAGGAUUACCAGUCCCUGUCGCAAGACCCGAAUAUGCUUCUUCAAAUACCGUGUUCGUUGUACGACUCGCGUCCACACUGUCAAGCGUUCACGGGUUGAGGAGGUCGCAAUACUAACCGACGUCACAUGGGGGUACGACGAUUACCAGCUCGAUCGACAUCUUCCAGUUCUGGAUGAAUACCUCUUCGCUCGUAAUUCGGCGAUUCUGUAGUGUUAGAUGUGUAUUUAAGGAAUCGAAUAAACUAUCGGAAAUAUCUUGA